CAGUAAUGGACUCCAAAAAGGUUUUACCAGAAGAGUCAAAACAAUAUACAUAAGCAUUGUCAAGAAAACAGCCAACAUAGAACAAAAUUACAGUCGCAUACAGUAACAAAAUAAUUUUAUCCAUCAGUAUACUGGGUGAUCUCUUCCUAUUUCUAUCACUUCCCUUUCCGCUUCUUUUGCGUUCCUGCACAAUCUGCGCAAAACCAUUUCCCCUUGGGCUGUUCUUUGAGGCCAACGCAGCCGUAGUGGAACCACUCUAUUUUGCAAUUAGGAUUGUCGCAAGCAACCAUUUCACCAUAGCUAACUUGAUUGCAGAAACAGUAUGUUGGUUCGUUUGGAUCAACAGGCAGAUCCAAAUCCAUUCCACUUGGUGUUGCUGCAGUGGCUGUAGCUGCAGCUGCUGUAGCAAGACGUGUUUUUUUACGCCCUCCCUUACCCUCACCAGACCUUCCAGAUUUGACAUUAUGUUCAUCAAUGGCAGGGAGAUCACAAAGGUUGAGUUCAGGGUUCUGAAGUUAGCCAAGGUUCAGUGUCAACGAGGUACUCACUUUUGGGUAUACGAGGAUGGAUCCUACGAAGAAGAAGGUCAAAAUAACAUUAGAGGAAACAUAUGGG
rnacentral:misc_RNA from 1 species